GCCGUGGCUCGCGCUGACUAUUGGACCUCGCGCGCUCGUAUAUUUUUUGUUGCGAUGGUACUUUAAGAAUUUAAGUAUAAAUCUACCCACUAGUGUAAUAUUAUAAUAUUAUUAUGUAUUAGAAGUUAGAAAUUGAAAUAACAUAUCUUAAUUGUCUACUAACACAUCUAUAAUAAUUGUGCGCUCUAAAAUGUAAUUUUGAACUCUGUAACCAUAGCCUGUAAGUUUCAUAUAAGUGGAAAUUCCUUUAUGGAACUAAUAAAAGUCUUAAACCAGAAAAAUUGUAGACGUAAUGCAGAUUUAGAAGCUAC